UGACGGAAGGGCACAACAAGGACUGGGGCCUGCGGCUCAAUUUGACUCAACACGGGAAAACUUACCAAGCCCGGACACUGGAAGGAUUGACAGAUUGAGAGCUCUUUCUCGAUUCGGUGGAUAGUGGUGCAUGGCCGUUUGUAGUUCGUGGAGUGAUUUGUCUGGUUAAUUCCGGUAACGAACGAGACUCCAGCCUGCUAACUAGUCGAUUCCGGCAUCCUUGGCGCAGCCGGCGACUCCAAAUCUUCUUAGAGGGACUAGCAGCGUUUAGCUGCACGAGAUUGAGCAACAACAGGUCUGAUAUGCCCUUAGAUGUUUUGGGCUGCACGCGCGCCACACUGAAGGAAUCAACGUGUGUUUUCCUAGCCCGAGAGGGCCGGGUAACCCGCUGAAUCCCCUUCGUGCUAGGGACUGGGGCUUGCAAUUGUUCCCCACUAACGAGGAACUCCUAGUAAGCGUGAGUCAUUAGCUCAAGUUGAUUAAGUCCCUGCCCUUUGUGCACACCGCCCGUCGCUACUCCGAUUGAAUGAUUUAGUGAGGUCUUCGGACCAGUGCGCGGCAACCCUAGGGAGGCCGAUGCACCGGAAAGAUGAUCGAACUUGAUUAUUUAGAGGAAGUA
rnacentral:rRNA from 1 species